rnacentral:rRNA from 1 species
UGAAUACGAGACGCUAAGGCGUCGAAGUAGUGUAUGUCAUACUUCCAAGAAAAGCUUGCACUGUCAUAGAUAAAAAACGCCUGUACCAUAACCGACACAGGUAGGUAGGUAGAGUAUACUAAGGGGCGCGAGAUAACUCUCUCUAAGGAACUCGGCAAAAUAACUCCGUAACUUCGGGAGAAGGAGUGCCUUAUUAUUAAGGCUGCAAUAACAAGAUCCAAGCAACUGUUUAUCAAAAACACAGGUCUCCGCUAAGUCGUAAGACGAUGUAUGGGGGCUGACGCCUGCCCAGUGCCAGAAGGUUAAAGAAGUUGGUUAGCAUUUGCGAAGCUGAUAACUGAAGCCCUGGUGAACGGCGGCCGUAACGAUAACGGUCCUAAGGUAGCGAAAUUCCUUGUCGGGUAAGUUCCGACCCGCACGAAAGGCGUAAUGAUUUGGAUACUGUCUCGGAGAGGGGCUCGGUGAAAUAGACUUGUCUGGAAGAUGCGGACUACCUGCACCAGGACAGAAAGACCCUAUGAAGCUUUACUGUAACUUGAAAUUGAAAUUGGACUUUAUUCGCGCAGCAUAGGUGGGAGGCGUUGAUUAUGAUCUUGUGGGAUUAUUGGAGCCAUCAGUGAGAUACCACUCUUGUAAUGUUAGAUUUCUAACUUUGAAUCAUUAUCUGGUCAAAGAACAGUUUCAGGCGGGCAGUUUGACUGGGGCGGUCGCCUCCUAAACGGUAACGGAGGCGUACAAAGGUUUCCUCUGAACGGUUAGAAAUCGUAUCUAGAGUGUAAAGGCAUAAGGAAGCUUGACUGUGAGACCUACAAGUCGAGCAGGGACGAAAGUCGGUCUUAGUGAUCUGACGGUACUGAGUGGAAAGGCCGUCACUCAACGGAUAAAAGUUACUCUAGGAUAACAGGCUGAUCUCCCCCAAGAGUUCACAUCGACGGGGAGGUUUGGCACCUCGAUGUCGGCUCAUCGCAUCCUGGGGCGGUAGUACGUCCCAAGGGUUGGGCUGUUCGCCCAUGAAAGCGGUACGCGAGCUGGGUUCAGAACGUCGUGAGACAGUUCGGUCCAUAUCCGGUGUAGGCGUUAGAAUAUUGAGAGGAGCCUUCUUUAGUACGAGAGGACCGAGAAGGACAUACCUCUGGUGUACCAGUUAUCGUGCCAACGGUAAACGCUGGGUAGCUAUGCAUGGAGUGGAUAACCGCUGAAAGCAUCUAAGUGGGAAGCCCACCUCAAGAUAAG